GGUGGAUGCAUGACCAGUGUAUAAACAACUAAGUUAUAAAAAGGGGACUAACACACAAAGGAGGGUCCCUGCUCGGAGAAGAGGUCACUGCACUGGUACUCUGGGGGCUUGGACCCUAGCUCGAGCUAGACAAUAAACUCCUUUUGGUAAUUACAGCCUCGGUGACUCUCUCUCUCUGUCCUGCGGCCUUGUGAAUCUCGAAUAUAACACUGCCAAGAGAGAGGAGCAUAUGCUAGUUUAUUUACACUUCUGUCAUGGAAAAAUGGAAAACUCAAAGAGGAGGAUAAAAAUCUGUAUUUUUUCAGCUUUGGGAACUUGGAGGAGCUUCAGAAGCAGGGCUGCACCUGGGAGGGACAUUCAGAAGCAGAGGUGCUUCCCAGGGGACAGCACCCGGGCUCCCGGACCAGCACUGCAGGCAGGCGAGAGGGAGGGACGGUGUUCAGGCCUCACCUCACUGAAGGUAGUAACGUAACUAAGGAGGAAAAUGAGUCCAUCACAGGGGGAGGGGUCAGGCAAGGGACCCAGAAAGGGCAGCAGCUGACGCCAGGCCCCAGGAAGCAGCAGCCCCUGUGGGCUCACGGGGAUUGGAGCCACAAGGUUCUGCAGAUCUGGCCACGCUGGCAAGACCACCCUUCUUCAAACCACCCAACUGCCUCCACCACGCCUGCAGGGCCAGCUUUCGCCCCUCUGCACACGGUUUCAAGAGCAGAGACCAGGGUGAGGGGGAUCCAGCAGACAUGCCAACAUGUGACUGUCAUGAAUUGCCCACGGCGCAACCGUCGCAGCUCAGGCAACAAAGACUGCCGCUCUGGCUUUGUCACUUAAUCUCCAUGAGCCUCAGCUCUUGGUGAACAGCAGGCUCUGCAUGGCCAGGUGGGGCCUGCGGCCCCUCCCCAGCUGCCACCACAGUCCCCUCCUGACUCCCCCUUCCUCAGGGGCUCCCGGGGAGUUGGAAACAGGCUGUGGACAAAAGCUUCAGACACGCCUUCUUGCCAGCAUGAUGUCAGCCUCUGUUUCACCAAAGACAGAGGACGUUUUGUGCCAGAAAGGGGGGCACAAGUGAGGUCUGAAGCGACGAGGAUUGCCUCUCCCUAUUUUCAGCAAAGUAACCUCAGCCACUCUCUAACAGUAGCAAGUCAUUAUUCAGGCAGGAGCAGUGUCCCCUGAGGUUCCCCUCGACCUCACCAAACAGACUUGCCAACCCCGUAGAGCACCCCAGGCUGCGGGGGAUGGGCCAGGGGCUAGCCGGGGCAGGCAGGCAGUCCCGGUUGCUCCGCUUCACCAAGGGCGAUCUGGAGAGGCCGGGACAUCUGGAGAGGCCGGGACAGCGCCCGCACAGCCACCGGAAGAGCUCUCAGGAAGUGACCCUGUAGCUGAGACUGGGAGCUUGAGGAAGGAACAGGCACUGAUGGAAGAGCAGGAGCAGCCCUACUGCUCAUGGUGCCAUGGAUUAGAAGGCUUCUACCAGUAGAGUCUCCUUCAAGCCCUGGGAGGUCUUCCUGAUUCCAGCCCCUCCUACCUUCCGGACACGCUGGACCAACACCCCUUAAAUAUCUCGUUUGUGUUUCUGUUCCAGAAUCUGCGAGCAUUUCUUACCCCUGCUGCACCCACCUCAGACUUGUUCCCUGGCCUGUCAAGGCCACACGUCAUCUCAUCCCAGUCAAGUCUCCAACUUCACACACCUUCUGUGUCCUUUGCUCUCCAACGUGCUCACUCACUCCAGUCAGGACCCUCACGUCCCCGACAAUCCUGUGGCACAUUCCCUUUCCACUGGACC